ensembl:lncRNA
UAGGCCGGCUCCUGACAGGGGCUCUUCACCUCGGUUAGAGCUGCCUCUCCAUAAAGGGAACAUUUGCCGUUAUAGUCAUGGAAGAAUGCUGAUGAGAUUUCCAGUUAAAUUCGGAUGAGAUGGGGUCUGAUUUCUUUACUAUGGCAGGAUGGCUGUUAAGUCAACAUUUACAUUGGAACAGCGCAGUGAAGUCACCUGCCCUAAGCCUGGAGGAAUGCUCUAUGUUUACAAUUUCAAGAGUCCUGUAGGCCAGGAAGUGAAUCAUUGGGGGCCCUCAGCUUGCAGUCACACACUACCGCUUCUGCCAGUAGGCAGAAGAAGGGAG